rnacentral:misc_RNA from 1 species
GAAGUAAUUAAAAGAUAAGAACUGAGCUGACAAUGCAAAAUGAAGAAACGGUGCGGAGAAGCAUAAGUAAAACGGUGCGUGCUGGAAAGAUCUAAAGCAGAGCAAGAGAUGGAUUCCCGCAUUUCUCAACAGAUCUAACAACAGAUAAGUUACGGCUAUAGUUUGUUAGAAACCCUUCCUUGCCUUGAAUUCAGCCUUGUUCUUUGCCAACCAUGACAUCCCCGGCGUCAAUCGCACUUCCUCGCCUCUUACUCACUUCCUCCAGCAGUCGAUAAGCCCUUCUGUAAUCACAAUUGUAGUCGACGGACGGUUAACAGAGAGAAGAAAUUGAAGUUUUGAAGCUUGAAGCUGCCUAUUGGAUAGCCCCAUCCAUGCACCAUCCCAUAGACUUGAAUGUUUGUCAUUCGCAUGCGAAGAGGCUUUAUAUGAAGACUGAAAUAAAUUACACCCUUUCUUCAAUGUCACGAGAACUCUAAAUUUUGACUGUCCAUGAAAGGUUUGUAUUAAAAUAUGAACGAGAUAAAAGAUUUUUCUCACAUUUCUAAGCUUAUAUUUUUGGAACAAUUGAUCAAUUAACAAUUCUGUUCCAGGGGGAGGAAUGGUGGUGCUUGUGAUAUUGUUAAUUACUAAUUAUUGGUAUUAAACUGAUAAGCAAGGGACGAGGAGUGUACAUGAUGCUUGAAAACUGAGGCAUGAGUAGGUGGCCUAAUGCAUAGACAAUGUUUAUUGAGUGGAAAUAGACAUUGCAUUGACAAUGGUUUACGC